rnacentral:rRNA from 1 species
AGGAUUAACGCUGGCGGCGUGCCUAACACAUGCAAGUCGAACGAGGUAGCAAUACCUAGUGGCAGACGGGUGAGUAACGCGUGGUCAACCUACCGUUGAGUGGGGGAUAACUAGCCGAAAGGUUAGCUAAUACCGCAUACGAGUUUCGGGGGCAUCCCUGGAUCUUAAAAGGAGCAAUCCGCUCGAUGACGGGACCGCGUCCCAUUAGCUAGAUGGUGGGGUAACGGCCUACCAUGGCACCGAUGGGUAGCUGGUUUGAGAGAGCGACCAGCCACACUGGGACUGAGAAACGGCCCAGACUCCUACGGGAGGCAGCAGUGAGGAAUUUUCCGCAAUGGGCGAAAGCCUGACGGAGCGACGCCGCGUGUGGGAAGAAGGCCUUCGGGUCGUAAACCACUGUCGAAGGGGACGAUAAUGACGGUACCCUUGGAGGAAGCCCCGGCUAACUACGUGCCAGCAGCCGC